rnacentral:rRNA from 1 species
AAUGGGCGAAAGCCUAGAUCCAGCAAUGCCGCGUGAGUGAUGAAGGCCUUAGGGUUGUAAAGCUCUUUUACCAGGGAUGAUAAUGACAGUACCUGGAGAAUAAGCUCCGGCUAACUCCGUGCCAGCAGCCGCGGUAAUACGGAGGGAGCUAGCGUUGUUCGGAAUUACUGGGCGUAAAGCGCACGUAGGCGGCUUUUC